UAAUACUAUUAUUUAUACCUGUCGUGAGCUUCCGAGUUUGAGAUAGGUUAGGUUUGAGAUAGGAGAUAGGUUAGGUUAGGUUAGGUUACAGUUUCAUUUACCACAACGCGAUGUCUGCUAAAUAUUUUUGUUGUCGUUAUAUAAAUAUAAAUUGAAUAUAAAUAAAACGUUAACGAGAAUUGAAGAAUUAUCGUUUACACGCUCUAAUGACAAUAUUGUGUACUAAAUCGAUAUAGAGUGUGCUGAACUGUAAUCUCUUUGCUUGCUAGCGUUUCGUCAACGAAAAAUGACAGCCAAUGUCAUGCGCAGAUCGGAUGCGCGUUGACCGGUUGAGGCGGCCGGAGUGGGGAUAAUCGCUAGCGUCUUGACGCUGCGUGAAAUUGCACCCUAAAGUGUGCAGUCAGCCUAAAAAUUACAAAUUGAUUAUCAUUAUCUUUAUUGUGUUCUUAAAACGGGUGAAGCCUAUAUUUGAUUUUUUUUAUGUGAAUUGUCAGAGCAUAAAUAAAAUGGAAUAAUUCGUAACUACAUAUGUGACAUUUUGAGUGUUGUAACACUUGUCGCGAAUGAAUAUAAAAAAUGUCCUGAAAAUGUUUCGAUUGCAUUGCUUUUAAGAAAACGCCUGGUUAUUAGACAGGAAAGUAACGUGGAAUUUCAUUCGCAAUUGGCAUAAUUGCAGAGGUGCGCCUAUUGUGCAACAUGCUGAAAAUGUUUAAAUGCCUCCAAUGUGACUCAACCUUUGAUCGUGCUUCACAAUUAGAUUAUCACCAUCGGAGUUUACAUCUACGAGAAAGAUCCCAAAUAUGCCAUAUAUGUGGAAAGGGUUUCUUUCGCAAAGCAGAUUUGCGCACUCACUUGAACAUUCAUUUGGGAACAAAUUUUUAUAUUUGCGAAGUCUGUGGGAGGAAGUUCAGUCAUAUAUCGAAUCUUAUAAGACACUGUAGAAUGCAUACGGGAAUUAAACCGUAUUCGUGUUCAAUUUGUGAUAAGAAUUUCACGCAAAUGUCUUCGCUAGCAAGGCACAAACAAAUGAUACAUGGAAUACCAAAGGAAAUUGUGCAGCAGUAUUAUAAUCCUAGUCUUAUCAACAAUAAAUUACAAAUUAGUAGUCAUGGAUUGAAAGAAAACAAGGUAAUAAAUUAUUAUUUUCAA